CAUUUUAUCAGUUUAAUCGAUGAUAUGAUCUAUUCUUUUUCUGAUUUGUCCUGUGUCCUUUCUGAUUUCCAGGUCUGGCCCAGUGCCUGAUACAUAGUAGCAGCUCACCAAAUAUUGAUUGACUGCUUAACUGAUUUGUUCUACUGAGGCGGCACCCCCGCCCAGUCUCACGACCUGCUUUCCAUUGGCUGAAUCAAGCCCCGCCUCCAAACGUGACAUCACAGGUCUCCUCCUUUCUGCGGUUUUCACCUGGCCUGGGGUCUGUGGAGAGGGGCAGCUUGAGGCUCCAGCUCCUUCCCCUGCCGGUUCUCCCUUCCCGGGCCUGCUUGAUCCCCCGUGGGAAUCCUCUGUGUGUGGGAGUAAAAUCGGGUACUGCAUGGGCACUGCCUCUUUUUGGAGCACUCUCAGGAAGAGCUUAGCAGUCUAA
rnacentral:lncRNA from 1 species